rnacentral:rRNA from 1 species
AUUGAACGCUGGCGGCAGGCCUAAAACAUGCAAGUCGAGCGGAGCGGCGGAAGGGAGAGUAAUGCCUAGGAAUCUGCCUGGUAGUGGGGGAUAACGUCCGGAAACGGGCGCUAAUACCGCAUACUAUCAAAUGAGCAUAGGUCGGAUUAGCUAGUUGGUGGUGUAAAGGCCUACCAAGGCGACGAUCCGUAACUGGUCUGAGAGGAUGAUCAGUCACACUGGAACGUGGACACGGCCCAGACUCCUCCUGGAGGCAGCAGUGGGGAAUUUUGGACAAUGGGGGAAACCCUGAUCCAGCCAUCCCGCGUGUAUGAUGAAGGCCUUCGGGUUGUAAAGUACUUUUGGCAGAGAAGCGGUAUCUGCAUAAUAAGCACCGGCUAACUACGUGCCAGCAGCCGCGGUAAUAC